CGGGGAACCAUUUGCCGACGAAAACCACGACCGGUCGACCUUGUCGGUCCACGCCGCUCUGGUAGAGACAACCAAUUCCCGAGACCUCGGUCAAGUCCUCCGUCUUCGCCCUCCUGAGGAGCCUUUCGUACCUAAAACCAAGACCCUUUGGGGACAGAAUAUAUAAGCAAUCUCAGAAUCUACAUUUAUAUAUGUGAAACACAAGUGAAAUGUAAUCUGAAAAAAGGAUGUUCAAUGGACUCUGCUGCGAAAGCUGUGAGCAACAUAAAGCAUUAAUGUAAUGGUGACAGCAAGAUAAGCGAAGUUAUGAAGGCGAACAUCAACGGAAAGUAUGCGUUUAACGACCCUACGUCUAAUAACUUUACAGCCGGCCGAUAACACUGCUGAGGAUGAAGGGUCAAAGCCGUUCGAUAAAUUCAACUUUAAAAAUAGAUCCAAACUACACAUCGUACAUAAUCAAUCGCACCUGCGACGAGCUUGCGAUAAAAUCGCUGCCGUAUAAGAGUCAUCGCCAACGCGAGAUGGCUUAAUAGAAUAACGGCACACGUCCUUCGAUCUUGCCGGACAAUUGACAUCUCGGACGAAUGCACCGGCGAAGCCCCGUUCCGUUCAAUAUCCGUUACAUAUUCUGUGUGACACGAGGGGCUUCCGAACAAAUCCUUUGUGCGCGCGUAGUUGCCAGCGAGGUGAAAAGUUCGGUAGAAAAAAAAAAUCUGAUAUGAAUCGACGUAAUCGACAUGGCUGUUUUCACAAAGGCGUGCAGGUAGUGCCUUCGUUAUUGUUUAAACCGCGAAUGAUCGUAAAACGUGCACGCUGUACGCGAUUGUUUACGGAAAAUAUUAAAUAAUUAAAAUGACCAAGAUCUUUCAUUGCAAUUAUAUUACAAUGUUUUAUGACAUCGGAUGCGAGAAAUCGGGCGAAUUUUUACUCCAAAAUAAAUCAGUU